UACGAAGGGGGCUAGCGUUGUUCGGAUUUACUGGGCGUAAAGCGCACGUAGGCGGAUCGUUAAGUCGGGGGUGAAAUCCUGGAGCUCAACUCCAGAACUGCCUUCGAUACUGGCGAUCUUGAGUCCGGAAGAGGUGAGUGGAACUCCUAGUGUAGAGGUGGAAUUCGUAGAUAUUAGGAAGAACACCAGUGGCGAAGGCGGCUCACUGGUCCGGUACUGACGCUGAGGUGCGAAAGUGUGGGGAGCGAACAGG
rnacentral:rRNA from 1 species